rnacentral:rRNA from 1 species
GGAUUCCCCUAGUAGCGGCGAGCGAAGCGGGAAGAGCUCAAAUUUAUAAUCUGGCACCUUCGGUGUCCGAGUUGUAAUCUCUAGAAAUGUUUUCCGCGUUGGACCGCACACAAGUCUGUUGGAAUACAGCGGCAUAGUGGUGAGACCCCCGUAUAUGGUGCGGACGCCCAGCGCUUUGUUAUACAUUUUCGAAGAGUCGAGUUGUUUGGGAAUGCAGCUCAAAUUGGGUGGUAAAUUCCAUCUAAAGCUAAAUAUUGGCGAGAGACCGAUAGCGAACAAGUACCGUGAGGGAAAGAUGAAAAGCACUUUGGAAAGAGAGUUAACAGUACGUGAAAUUGUUGGAAGGGAAACGCUUGAAGUCAGACUUGCUUGCCGAGCAAUCGGUUUGCAGGCCAGCAUCAGUUUUCCGGGAUGGAUAAUGGUAAAGAGAAGGUAGCAGUUUCGGCUGUGUUAUAGCUCUCUACUGGAUACAUCCUGGGGGACUGAGGAACGCAGUGUGCCUUUGACGGGGGUUUCGACCUCUUCACACUUAGGAUGCCUGGUGGAAUGCCAGUAA